GGGAAUACUGCAAAGCUAGGGAGUGGGAGAGGUAGACGGUACUCGGUAGGAAGGGGUAAAAUCCUUUGAUCUAUUGAUGACCACCUGUGGCGAAGGCGGUCUACCAGAACACGUCCGACGGUGAGGGAUGAAAGCUGGGGGAGCAAACCGGAUUAGAUACCCGGGUAGUCCCAGCUGUAAACUAUGCAAACUCAGUGAUGCAUUGGCUUGUGGCUAAUGCAGUGCUGCAGGGAAGCCGUCAAGUUUGCCGCCUGGGAAGUACGUACGCAAGUAUGAAACUUAAAGGAAUUGGCGGGGGAGCACCACAAGGGGUGAAGCCUGCGGUUCAAUUGGAGUCAACGCCAGAAACCUUACCCGGAGAGACAGCAGAAUGGAGGUCAAGCUGAAGACUUUACCAGACAAGCUGAGAGGUGGUGCAUGGCCGUCGCCAGCUCGUGCCGUGAGAUGUCCUGUUAAGUCAGGUAACGAGCGAGAUCCCUGCCUCUAGUUGCCACCAUUACUCUCAGGAGUAGUGGGGCGAAUUAGCGGGACCGCCGCAGUUAAUGCGGAGGAAGGAAGGGGCCACGGCAGGUCAGUAUGCCCCGAAACUCUGGGGCCACACGCGGGCUGCAAUGGUAAUGACAAUGGGUCCCAAAUCCGAAAGGAGGAGGUAAUCCUCAAACAUUACCACAGUUAUGACUGAGGGCUGCAACUCGCCCUCACGAAUAUGGAAUCCCUAGUAACUGCGUGUCAUUAUCGCGCGGUGAAUACGUCCCUGCUCCUUGCACACACCGCCCGU
rnacentral:rRNA from 1 species